UACAGAGGGUGCAAGCGUUAAUCGGAAUUAUUGGGCGUAAAGCGCGCGCAGGUGGUUCCUUAAGUCUGAUGUGAAAGCCCACGGCUCAACCGUGGAGGGUCAUUGGAAACUGGGGAACUUGAGUGCAGAAGAGGAAAGUGGAAUUCCACGUGUAGCGGUGAAAUGCGUAGAGAUGUGGAGGAACACCAGUGGCGAAGGCGACUUUCUGGUCUGUAACUGACACUGAGGCGCGAAAGCGUGGGGAGCAAACAGG
rnacentral:rRNA from 1 species